GUACGUACUGGCAUUGUUGGUUUCUCCCUUCUGACGAACCAUGAUGUCAUUUAUUUGGUGUUGUGGGGAAUCAGGACUGUUACUUUGAAAAAAUUAGAGUGUUUAAAGCAGGCUCACGCUUGAAUACAUUAGCAUGGAAUAAUGAAAUAGGACGUUUGAUUCUAUUUUGUUGGUUUCUAGGAUCGACGUAAUGAUUAAUAGGGAUAGUUGGGGGCAUUAGUAUUCAAUUGUCAGAGGUGAAAUUCUUGGAUUUAUUGAAGACUAACUACUGCGAAAGCAUUUGCCAAGGAUGUUUUCAUUAAUCAAGAACGAAAGUUAGGGGAUCGAAGACGAUCAGAUACCGUCGUAGUCUUAACCAUAAACUAUGCCGACUAGGGAUCGGAUGAUGUUAAUUUUUUAAUGACUCACUCGGCGCCUUACG
rnacentral:rRNA from 1 species